GUGAGGAAUAUUGCGCAAUGGGCGAAAGCCUGACGCAGCGACGCCGCGUGGAGGAUGAAGGUCUUCGGAUUGUAAACUUCUGUUAAGUGGGAAGAAAGGGCUGCUUUUAAUAGAAGCAGUUAAUGACGGUACCAUUAAAGAAAGCACCGGCUAAACUCGUGCCAGCAGCCGCGGUAAUACGAGUGGUGCAAGCGUUAUUCGGAAUAAUUGGGCGUACAGGGUGUGUAGGCGGUAUGUUAAGUCUGUUGUUAAAGACUCCGGCCUAACCGGAGACAUGCAGCGGAAACUGGCGUACUAGAGGGUGGAAGAGAGAAGUGGAAUUCUCGGUGUAGCGGUAAAAUGCGUAGAUAUCGAGAGGAACACCGAUGGCGAAGGCAGCUUCUUGGUCCAUACCUGACGCUGAAACACGAAAGCGUGGGGAGCAAACAGGAUUAGAAACCCUAGUAGUCC
rnacentral:rRNA from 1 species